AGUCUGAAUCAGCUUGUGUGUUAGUGGAAGCGUCUGGAAAGUCGCACGGUACAGGGUGAAAGUCCCGUACACGAAAACACACAGGCUGUGAACUCGAAGAGUAGGGCGGGACACGUGGUAUCCUGUCUGAAUAUGGGGGGACCAUCCUCCAAGGC
rnacentral:rRNA from 1 species